rnacentral:lncRNA from 1 species
AUGUUUUAUGUUCACAACGAUUACACUCGAACAUGUACAAAAUUCAUUUAUGAUUUAUUUCACUCUUUUAUUUAUUGACAUAUUUACUAACAUAUUUACUCACAUAUUUACUAACAUAUUUAUUAUUUUUGUUUAAUUAAGAACUUGCAGAUUUCUCCUUUUUCUUGAUACCGAUAUCGUUGAGCACGACAUAAAAAAACACAAAAUAAAAAAAAAGGUGAUGCAACAAAAAAAAAAAAUAAGGAAAUAAAAUAAUAAAAUAAUAAAAUAAUUAAAUAAAAUAAAAUACUUUAUUUAUUCAUGUCCUUUUCUUUCUUUUUUUUUUUUUUAAUAGUAUGGUGAUUCCUGCACGAAUAUUUUCAUUUCACAACAAAAAUGGCUAGUAACAGAGAAUAAAAUGAAGGGAGUGUUAUAUUGCCCUAACGUUAAGUGUAAGAAUAAACUUGGUAAAUGGUCAUGGACUGGUAUAUGUUGUUCAUGUGGUUAUUUACAAAUCCCUGCUUUUAUGGUUAAUAGAAAAAAAAAAAAAAAAAAAAAAAAGCAAUUGCAAUUAUAAUUACAAUUACAAUUACCAGUGUACAUGUCUUUUUUACUAUCAAACAAAAUCAUUUUCAAUUUUAAUUUUUUUAUUUUUUUAUUUUUCAGAUAAAUAUAUCAAAUAUUGACCGUAUGAGUAUCCAGCCAAACUAAAUUUAAAUAGGUCUACUCAUUUUUUAAAAUAGAUAAAUUAUUUAUAAAAAUAAAUAAUAAUUACCAUAUUUACGUGUAUUCUAU